rnacentral:rRNA from 1 species
UACGGAGGGGGCUAGCGUUGUUCGGAAUUACUGGGCGUAAAGCGCACGUAGGCGGCUUUGUAAGUUAGAGGUGAAAGCCCGGGGCUCAACUCCGGAAUUGCCUUUAAGACUGCAUCGCUAGAAUUGUGGAGAGGUAAGUGGAAUUCCGAGUGUAGAGGUGAAAUUCGUAGAUAUUCGGAAGAACACCAGUGGCGAAGGCGACUUACUGGACGAUUACUGACGCUGAGACGCGAAAGCGUGGGGAGCGAACAGG